UGAAGCACGGGGACGUCUACUUGGCAGACGUAUGCGUCCCGGGGACGUCCCGGGGACGAUACGCGAUAAAUACGCGUAAAAUACGUCCCCGGGGACGUAUUUUUGAGGUCCAAUUUUUUAAUUAUUUUUUUAAUUAAAAAUACGGCGAAAAUACGUUGAAAAGACGGUCAAAUACGUAUUUGACUCUUAAAAAUACGUUUUUAAUAAAUUUUAAAACUUCUAACCUCUGAAACCCUAAUUCGCGCCUCCACUCACACUUGCAAACGUUCGCCCCUCUUCUCCUCUCUGACCCACCCCGUUCACCAUCGUCCCUGCGCCACCCUGCUCGCCGCUCGCCGUCGCCGUCGCGCUGCCCUGCGCGCUUGGAGCAGCCGCGCCACCUUAACAACUAAAGCCAUGAAGAGGAAGAGGAAGGAGGAGGAGAAUGAGGAUGAUGAGUGAAGAGAACUAACAUUUUAGUGUGUUUUAUUAAGUAUUAAUUAUUAAGACUAUGUUUUAUUUUCUAUUUGGUUAACUUUAUCAUGAAUUAGUAGUGUUUUGCUUAUAUUAUUGGUGAAUUAUGAAUUUAUAAUAUAUAUAAAAUAUAUUUUAAAUAAAAAAACUAAAACGUAUUUUUGA